ACGAACGCUGGCGGCGUGCUUCACACAUGCCAGUCGCACGGAAAGGCCCUGCUUUUGUGGGGUGCUCGCGUGGCGAACGGGUGAGUAACACGUGAGUAACCUGCCCUUGACUUUGGGAUAACUUCAGGAAACUGGGGCUAAUACUGGAUAGGAGCUCCUGCUGCAUGGUGGGGGUUGGAAAGUUUCGGCGGUUGGGGAUGGACUCGCGGCUUAUCAGCUUGUUGGUGGGGUAGUGGCUUACCAAGGCUUUGACGGGUAGCCGGCCUGAGAGGGUGACCGGCCACAUUGGGACUGAGAUACGGCCCAGACUCCUACGGGAGGCAGCAGUGGGGAAUAUUGCACAAUGGGCGGAAGCCUGAUGCAGCAACGCCGCGUGCGGGAUGACGGCCUUCGGGUUGUAAACCGCUUUCGCCUGUGACGAAGCGUGAGUGACGGUAAUGGGUAAAGAAGCACCGGCUAACUACGUG
rnacentral:rRNA from 1 species